rnacentral:rRNA from 1 species
GACGAACGCUGGCGGCGUGCCUAACACAUGCAAGUGGAGCGACGAACCUGGCUUCGGCCAGGGGCAAAGCCGCGAACGGGUGAGUAACACGUGGAUUAUCUGCCCCAAUGACCGGGACAACCCGAGGAAACUCGGGCUAAUACCGGAUGUGCUCUUAGGAGGAAAGGAAGCUUCGGCCUCCGCAUUGGGAUGAGUCCGCGGCGCAUUAGCUUGUUGGUGGGGUAAUGGCCCACCAAGGCGACGAUGCGUAGCUGGUCUGAGAGGACGAUCAGCCACACUGGAACUGGGACACGGUCCAGACUCCUACGGGAGGCAGCAGUGGGGAAUCUUGCGCAAGGCACGAAAGUGUGACGCAGCAACGCCGCGUGCGGGAAGAAGGUCUUCGGAUCGUAAACCGCUUUCAGUUGGGACGAGGGUCAGCUGGUGAAUAGCCAGUCUGACUGACGGUACCUUCAGAAGAAGCCCCGGCUAACUACGUGCCAGCCGCCGCAGUAA